UUGACCUCAGAUCAGGCAAGAUUACCC
rnacentral:rRNA from 18 species